rnacentral:rRNA from 1 species
UACGUAGGGUGCAAGCGUUAUCCGGAUUUAUUGGGCGUAAAGGGCUCGUAGGCGGUUCGUCGCGUCCGGUGUGAAAGUCCAUCGCUUAACGGUGGAUCCGCGCCGGGUACGGGGCGGGCUUGAGUGCGGUGAGGGGAGACUGGAAUUCCCCGGUGUAACGGUGGAAUGUGUAGAUAUCGGGAAGAACACCAAUGGCGAAGGCAGGUCUCUGGGCCGUUACUGACGCUGAGGAGCGAAAGCGUGGGGAGCGAACAGG